AUGAACAAGAAAGAAAUCUGCCUGGUUUCCAAACCAAAACCUAGAACAGGCAGAGAAAAUCAACAACAGCCACGGCAAAAAGAGAUGGCGUUGGUGGUAGAUCUAGACACAACGAGCAAGGAGGUGUGGAAAAAGAACCUCGCCUGGCCGAUUACUACAGCUAAAAGAGAAGAAAAAAGAACAGAUCUGGAGCCCCGGGAUCUAAAACGUCCUGGAGAACUCGCUGCCUGCCGCGUGAACAAGGAGACGAACAGGGGAGGGAGGAAGAGGGCUUGGGAUUCAAAGAACCUUACCUUGGCGACGCAAGAACUCGCUCGGAUCUAUGCUUACCUCGCUUGA
rnacentral:rRNA from 1 species